AGUGAGGAAUAUUGGUCAAUGGGCGCAAGCCUGAACCAGCCAUCCCGCGUGCAGGAUGACGGCCCUAUGGGUUGUAAACUGCUUUUAUACACCAAGAAAAAUCUCCACGUGUGGGGACCCGACGGUAGUGUAUGAAUAAGCAUCGGCUAACUCCGUGCCAGCAGCCGCGGUAAUACGGAGGAUGCAAGCGUUAUCCGGAUUCAUUGGGUUUAAAGGGUGCGUAGGCGGCUUUUUAAGUCAGUGGUGAAAUCCUGUCGCUUAACGAUAGAAUUGCCAUUGAUACUGAGAAGCUUGAGUACAGUUGAGGUAAGCGGAAUGUGUAGUGUAGCGGUGAAAUGCUUAGAUAUUACACAGAACACCGAUUGCGAAGGCAGCUUACUAAACUGUUACUGACGCUGAUGCACGAAAGCGUGGGGAGCGAACAGGAUUAGAUACCCUGGUAGUCCACGCCGUAAACGAUGAUCACUCGCUGUAUGCGAUACACAGUAUAC
rnacentral:rRNA from 1 species